rnacentral:lncRNA from 1 species
UUCUCUUCCCAUCUUCACUAGAAUUUACCCUUGUUAUUGUAAUUCCAGAGUAAAAUUCAUCUGGAAGCUCGGGUGCAACGGAUUGCCAACGAUGAACAAGCUUGGUCGCAUUUUGUUCCAAGGUCUUGUUGAUUGUGAACACAGUCACAGUUGGUGGAACCGAAACCAACUGUACUUUCCAUGCAACCACAAUUCCAAAGCUACCCCCACCACCACCUCGAAUGGCCCAAAACAGAUCUUCUCCCAUGGAUUUCCUGUCAAGAACUCUCCCGUUAACAUCAACAAGUUGUGCAUCAAUUACAUUAUCGAUUGCAAGACCGUGUUUGCGGAAUAAUAAGCCAUAACCUCCUCCGCUCAAGUACCCUCCAAUUCCAACAGUGGGGCAAAGACCAGCUGGAAAGGCAAGAGUGUUGCUUCUAUUAGCAAUGUUGUAAUACAGUUCUCCUAGAACUGCACCUGAUUGAACCCAUGCAACUUUGUUGUCUACAUCAAUGUCAACUGAUCGUAGAUUAACCAUAUCAACAAUAACAAACGGGAGUUCAGAUACAUAAGAAAGACCUUCAAAAUCAUGGCCACCGCUUCGAGUUCUAAUUUGGAGACCAUGUUUUCUUGAACAAUAAAUUGUUGCUUGAAUAUGGGAAGCAUGGAGCGGUGUUACAAUGACCAAAGGUUUAGGGGUAGAUGGUGUAGUGAAUCUAAAAUUUCGAAUGGUAGCGUUCAAAACAGAAGAAUAGGAAGAAUUAUUUUGUGUGAAGAUAACUCUAGAAAUGGAAGAGGAGUCGUUGGAUUGAAGAGAAAGGCAAUCAAGAAAAGUCUCAUUAGCAUGAGCUGAAGUUGCCCAUAACAAUGAGAAGAGAGCGACAAAAAGAAAUGAUGAAGACGUUGAAAAGUGAAGAGAUUUCAUAUUUUUGAAAGUGAUGAUUUUCGAAACUGAUGGUUUUGUGCAGAGUUUGUGAAGGGCUCCCCUAUUUAUAGAUUUACAUAACCAAAGGGGGAUGCUUUGAGCAGCAAAAAGGCAUUGGAAUUGAAGUUUCUUCAAACGCGGAAUGAGUUUGGAAAUGGGAUGGUCAUCAAUAUAACAUGUUGAUCUAUAUGUCAUCAACUCCUUAAGAAAAUCUUCAUCGUAAGCAGUGAUGGCAUUGGGGGAUUUGACGCACUCAAACUAAAAUUGCCUGACUUUUAUAAUCUGAUCAAAUUGGUAAAUGAAAAAAAUUUCCCAUUGGGUUUUACGCAGCAAAAGCAUGUGAAUAGAACCGAAUUUAAUGACUUUUUGCUUAGCUUUCUCGACCGUCACAUAUAAAUAAAUAAACAAAUAUUAAAAAUUUUUUUUUUUCUCUCUUUCAAAGAGGAUAGUAAUUUAUUGAUCUAUGCCAUCCUGAAAAUCCAAUUAUUCCAAUUAUUCCAAUAAGAUGACAAUUUGGCCUAAAUUGUAAUUGAAAAAUCUACUUUCUACGGGAUUCCAAUUGGCAUGGAAAGGGUAAAAGCAUUCUUCCACGAUAAAAUGAUAUUUUUAUUUCAUGCUUGUAGAAUCUUACAAAUCGAAAUUAAUUUAAAAUUAUCAAAUUUAAGAAUGAAGGUCAUAUAAUCAAUAAUGAGGCAAUCAAUGUGGGAAAACCUACGGACUCAUUUGGUUUUGGAAUUAUUGUUAUAAGUGGGGUUAAAAUGUUUGUUACAUGCCAAUUUAUUUCCCGCUUAAUGUUGACUAUUUGUUGGGUACGUUGAUUUUAUAUUAGAGCUGACUUUUGAAGAGUGUGAGUUUAAGAGAGUUUAUAUGCUUAAUAUCUUCUUUAGUUAGAUAAGUAUAACGAUACGAGAGUUCAACGACGUAUUAGAAAUUAAAAAAAAAAUCUCAUUUAAUUUAUUUUCCUCUAUCUCAUAAAUAUUAUGAGUUCAUUUUAUUUUAAAUAUAUUAUUAAUUAAAGCUUGAAAAAAAAAGAGCUAAACACUUUAAAUGAAAAGGUUUUCAAACAUACUUUUAUAUAAAAAAAGUAGUUUAAUGUUGAAAAUAUAAAUGAUCAAAAUAAGUAGAAAAAGUUGAAGAGAGAAAGGCGAUGGGAAUAAUUUUAUGUUUUCAUGGGUAAGCCAAAGGAGAAAUUUCUCAUAAGACAGAGACAAAGUCCCCCAUAUUAAUAUUUUCAUGUGGAGGUGGGUUCCUCCCAUGAAAGUCCCAUUGCUUGGACGAUGUGCUUGCUAUCAUUUUCAACCAUUUCUAGAUUUCUUGUUUUUAGGGUAAAAGUAUGAGCCUACAACAUAAAAACUCCGACUUUCGUGUAGAUUUCCUUUUUGUUUUACUAUAUAUUUUGGCAAAAUAAAAUUCAACAAUUACUGGCGGUCUAGAUUGGGCAUAAUUCGGGGAACAAAAAUUAACUACUAGUACUUGUUAAUAUUGAAAUAUAUUUUUUGUUCUAUAAGAAAAAAGAAAGUAAAAUAUUAGUAAAAUUAAAAAUAAAAUGAAAAUUUAUUAUUUUUUUCAAAAAAAAAUUUUUAGACUUUUUUUUUUAACAUUAAUAUAUAUAUGUGACAGUAAAAUACUAAAACUAUGUUCACGAAUCAUUUAUAUCAUUAUUAAUAAUUUAUAUGUACUUAAUUUUGGAACCAAUGCACAAAAUCCUUCUCUUUUAAAAAUAAAUUUACUAUUGUGAACCAAAUUUGAAUUUUCAAAUAUAAGACAAAAUAUAAAUAGGUAAAUAAAUAAUAAGCAAAAAAAAAAAAAAAGAUAAAAUUUGACAUAUUCAGUUGAAAACCGCGUGGUAUAUGCAGUUGGGAAUAAAUAUAACUUGUAGAGAAAUUUUUUUUUUUUUUUGGCCAAUGAAAGACUUUAAAUUCUAAAAUUCUAAAUGUGACUUUAAUAAAAGUCUUAAUCAGAAAAUUCUAAAUGUAACUUUCUACUUUCUAUUUGAGGAAAUUAAAUUCAACACGUUUAACACUAUUGAAGUCUUUCAGGCAACAUAUUUUAUCUGAUUUUAUUAAAUUCUUGACUUUAAUUCUUCUUGAAAAUGAUUGUAUUUAUAAAUUAAUUAAAACCAUAUGAUAUCAGGCACGACUUAGUCUAUUGCAUGAAAAGGGUAUGAUUUUGACUACAAAGACUUCUGGAUAAUUUUAAAGCAAAUUCCUGCGCAAUGCCUCCAUUGACUUUUGUUCUUUUUUUUUUCCUUGAAGAAAAUGAAGAUGAAUAUCCAAAGACAGUGAACCUACUCAUCAUCAAACUACGGUCAAAAACUGGAAAAUGAUCUUAGAUAUGAUGGAAAAUCUGUGUCCCUCAAAUUUCUUUUAUUCUUUUCAGAUUUGUUUUAUCCAUCAACACGAAACCCAAAUCAUUAAGAAAAAUCAAAACUGAAAAUACUCAGAAGUUAUUUUAUUUUUAGAGGAAUUUUCAUUUCCGACAUAAGAAUUUUAAAAUCUUCAAAAUUUUCUACAAAAAAUUGUAUCGGUAAUACUUAAAAGAUAGAAAAAAAAAAAAAGAAAAUUCUGUUGAUAAUUUAAAUUUUCGACAAAAAUUAGGCUUUUUUGAAAUAAUUUUCCAUCUCUAAAAGCUUGAUCUCUUUUAGUUUAAAUAAAUUAAUUACACUCUUGUUUAUUAGCUUCUCUUUAAAUUAUAAACACAGUGAGGGAUGACAACAAAUCACCAUCGAGAUGAUAACGGGUCAUUAUGUGGGUGUGUAUUAAACUUUUCAUCCCCAUAUCUGAUUACGUUACUCAACUCAUCUCCAUUUUGAUAUCGCCAAGUAAUACUUUCGUGUAUUUGUCUUCGUACCCGAUAAGUAAACCCGAACCUGCCUCAUUAUGGAAAGUUUGAUAUGUGCCAUUUGAAAUAUGCAAGUAAAAAGAAUAUAAUGAAAUUAAAAAAAAAAAAAACUCAUGAGAAAACCCAUCCUUAUAAAUCUAAAAAUGUAAAAGAAAAAAUAAUAAAAUAAUAAAAUACCUAAAACCUAACCUUACUAAGAUUUUAAUAAAUUUGUUCAAAAUUCAUGUCUUAAAAAAAAAUACAAACAUAAUUUUUUUUUUUGGAAAAACUCUAACAAUCGCCCAUAAAUAUAAAUACAAAAAUUCAUAAAACAUCACUUAUAAUGAAACUAAUUGCAUCAUCCCAUGUAAGGGAAGCAAUACAAAAGGGCUUUAGAUUUUUAUCUCUUGUAGAGUUUAGGGUUUAGGGAUUUCUCUAAGACAAGUAUUCAAACAACGAAAACAUAGGGAAAGGGUAAAAGAAUUUGAUGCUCAUCGACGGUAGUGACAACUUUUAGGUUUUGAUUUAAAAUGGCAUUUUGUGAAAAAAUGGAGAGUUUUCUUUCUUUUAAAAAAAAAUCAAAAGUGAUAGGAUUAUAGAAGAGGCUGAGAGGAGAAUAUGGAUAAAUAUAGGAUCAUUUCAUCAUCAAUGAGUAGAAACGAUGGUAGAAAAUUUUUUAUUUUAAGUUUUGAAAGGGUAAAAGAAUUUGAUGCCUCAUCGACGGCAAUGACAACUUUAAGGUUUUGAUUUAAAAUGGCAUUUUGUGAAAAAAUGGAGAGUUUUUUUUUUUUUAAAUCAAAAGUGAUAGGAUUAUAAAAAAGGCUGAGAGGAGAAUCUGGAUAAAUAUAGGAUUAUUUCAUCAUCAAUGAGUAGAAAUGAUGGUAGAAAAUUUUUGAUUUUAAGUUUUGAUCUACGCUAUUUGAUAAGUUUUUUUUUUUUUUUUUUUUUUUUAUAGAAAUCCAAUUUGAUAAAAAAAAUCAAGAGGAGAAAAAUGAAUUUUUUCUAGUGAAAUUGAUGUCAACAAGUGGUGGCUGAUAGUGAAACACAUUGGUCGGUAGUUGGAAUCGAGAGAGAAAAGGAUGCCUACAAAGGAGUUGGAGAAGGGGGAGAAGAAUAGAGAGACAAGGAGAUAACAGAAAAGGAGGGGAUUUUAUUUUUAGUUUUUAUACUUAGCCUAAAAACCUAAACAAUGAGCUUUAGAUCACAAAAUGCAUUAUAAUUGAUAUUGGUCGGGUAUCAAGUUAGUUGACUCAUGAGGUAGGAUGAGUAACUUAUAGGGCGAGAUGUCAAAGGCAAAACAAAUGACAACAUCAAUGUUAGAUUGGAUGCAACACUCCUUUAUGGACGAAAGGAAUUAGAAUUGGUGGAAAAUAAUGAGAGAACAUCAAAGGCCAAAGCAUCGUGCACUUUAGGCAAGGAGAUCAAAAGGUGGUGUCUGUAUGGUUUUUUGAAUUUCACCAAAGAAUUAGGAUAGUCCUAAAAUCAUUUUUAUAAAAAUUAUUAUAAUUAGAAAAAUAAUAAAUAAAAGAUUUUUCAUAAUUAUUUUAUAUUUGUGUAAAUCAUAUAUGUCAUUUGCAAAUAAAAAAUAUCUUAUGACAAAAUUUCAGAAAUUUUGUAACGGUCAAUUUUUUCAAAAUUUUUUUGAAUAAAAAUAUUUUUUAUAAAUUUUGUCAAAGCAUUGAAGAAUUUAUAAAAUAUGAAAAUAAUAUAAUUUCAUAAUAAAAAUAUUUUUAGAAUUAAAUUUUUGGAGAAUUAAUUUUAAAUAUUGAGAAGACCAUAUUAUCAAAAUGAAUAGAUAAUACAUGUUUAAUUGGUAUUGUUUAUUAAACGGAUGAUAUGAGGUUGUUGAUUCCUUUGUUACUCAUAACUAUUCCUUCCAAAUUCAACCCUAAUUUUGCAUAAAUUUUAAUUAGUUUUAAGGUUUUUAUUAAAAGAUAAUAUUUUAGGUGAUUAAUCACUCUUAAUAAAAAUGAUUAGUGAUAACUCUGUAAAUUUUUAUUAAAUCUAGCGAUUGAGUCCCUUUAAACAAACAAUCAAUAUGACAAUAUAAAAUAUAAAAAUAAAUAAUUUUCAAGUAAAUUAAAAAUAAAAAAAUCCAAGAAAAAAAAUGAAAUAUUGGGGUAUCAUGAUCAAUAAAUCUAAUAACUUUUUCCUUUGUCCAAAAAAAAAAUUGUCUUAAUUAAUCUAAAAAAAUGGUAAUUCAAAUAUAGUUUAUUAUGAUCAAACUCAGUCAAAUCAACAUUAGGCCUUACUAGUUAGUAAUUAACAACAUUUUAAUGAUUAGAAAAAUUAAAUGCUACAAAUAAAUCGCAGUUACUUAUUGUUUAUGAGUAGCAUUUAAUAAUAUAGAUUAAAAAGAUAUAUAAAAUUUGGCUUAUUAAACCGUAAAGAAAGGCCGCCAAUACCUACGGUUGAAGUCGGUCAAGAACAUGUUGAUAAAAUCAAAAGCUCAAAAUCAAAGAUUGAAAGGCGAUUUAUCUACUUACUAUUUGGCCAAAUAUAAGUCAACAAAUAUAAUCAUUUCCUAUUUCUUUCACGCUAAAUCUGCACCACUAUUAAUGCCAUGUGAUUUUUUCUGAAUAAGAAGAUUUAAUUAAUUAAAUUCUUGACUUCAAUUCCUCUUAAAAAUGUCUGUUUCAAGUUAGGACAGACGUCAAUAUCGAUAUCAGAAGUUCGUUCUAAUUCUGGGAUAGGAAGGGUGGGGUUCAUAAGAUGGAAGAGUAAUAUUACAACUUACCUCUUAUUGUAAAACCUAAAAUUCAAUGAUCUUUUUUUGUUAUCAUAAGAAAAAUUCAAUGAAAUUCUUCUUACUUAUCAAAAAGAGAACAUUUAUUUUUAUAUUACACAUUAUAUUAUUAAUUUGCAGACAAAUUUGGGGAGACAAAUUCAAUAAUCUAUAACUAAUUACAAAGCAAAUAUAAAUAACGAUACAAAUUUAAUAAAUAUAUGAUCUACAACUAAUUACAAGGCAAAGAUAAUUAACGGUACAUUUAUUUAAAUAGUCGUAUAACGGAACAAGCCCAAAUGCCUAUAAAAGAAAACCUAAAAAAUUCUUUAUUUUUUUAUACAAAUUCCAAUUAAAUAUUUCUAUAAAAGGUUUAACUCCGAAAGGUUAUUAUGAUUUUUUUUUUCAAUUAAUGAAAAAAAGGAGGAAUACUUUGCUCAUGCCUGAAGAAAUUCUGUGGAUCAACAUUGGUCUUCACACGAACCAACCUGUCAAAGUUGUUCAAGAAAUACUUACGACCCCAUACACUUGCUUGACCGAAGCUUGUGUUUCCUUCGUUAUUCAUUCCGAUGUCAAGAUCCCUAUAAUUGAUAUAGGCUUGCCUUGGAGAUUUUGAAACAAAGGAACCCAUGUAACUAUAAAGUCUUCUAAUCCAGCUUAUAUACCUUUCAGAUAUUAUAUUCUCUUCUUCUUGCCAUCCUGCGUUGUAUACGAUUUUGUAUAAGUUGCCAGCUCUAUGUGGGAAUGGGGUAGCAGUCGAUGGAAUUUCAUCCAUUAUGCCUCCGUAAGCAAUAAAACUUAUACUAGCAGAUGCUCCUUCUUCUUCAAAAAGUCUGGACCACAUCCCUUGAAAUCCAAUUUCGGGAAUGGGUUUCCUCACAUAAUCAGAUUUUGACUUGAAGGAAGGACUAAGAAGAGGACUUUGGUAUGUCCUGUCAAGUAAAAUAUUCAAGGUUUCAUUUGGAAGGCUGCCCAUGUAGAGAAUAGAUUCAAUCCAACUCAUUUCAACGCAGUCUUCCCUCACUAGUCCCAGCUCAGGAAAUCUCUCUUGCAUCAAUGGAACCAGCUCAUCAAUCCCACCAAGAAACGAGGCAUGAAAGGAAGCUAGAAUUGUUCUCUUCCCAUCUUCACUAGAAUUUACCCUUGUUAUUGUAAUUCCAGAGUAAAAUUCAUCUGGAAGCUCGGGUGCAACGGAUUGCCAACGAUGAACAAGCUUGGUCGCAUUUUGUUCCAAGGUCUUGUUGAUUGUGAACACAGUCACAGUUGGUGGAACCGAAACCAACUGUACUUUCCAUGCAACCACAAUUCCAAAGCUACCCCCACCACCACCUCGAAUGGCCCAAAACAGAUCUUCUCC